GGGGGGUCUGGGGGUGUACUCCCCAGAAAAUUUUUGAAAUUUGACUCCCGGAAAUGUCAUUUCCUGCAUUCUGAGCAUCCAAAUUUGCUCCAAAAUUUAUCCUAACUAUACUUGUAUUUGAAAUAAAUAAAGGAAGAAACACACAAAAGUUAAAAAAAAAUAACCAUCAUUUAUCAUUACUUAUUAGAGGAGGAUAGCAAUGGUCAGGUGUGUGGGGGUGUACUCCCCCAGAAAAUUUUUGAAAUUUGAACCACGGAAAUGCCAUUUCCUGCAUUCUGAGCAUCCAAAUUUGCUCUAAAAUUUAUGCUAACUAUAGUUGUAUUUGAAAUAAAAGAUGGAAAAAUGCACAAAAAGUAAAAAGAAUAUUAACUGUAAUUUAUCAUUACUUAUUAGAGGGAUAAUCCCAA